AUAUCUUGUGGUAUAUGGUGCCAAUAUCAACAUGUAGGUAUAUCUUGUGGUAUAUGGUGCCAAUAUCAACAUGUAGGUAUAUCUUGUGGCAUAUGGCACCAAUAUCAACAUGUAGGUAUAUCUUGUGGCAUAUGGUGCCAAUAUCAACAUGUAGGUAUAUCUUGUGGCAUAUGGCGCCAAUAUCAACAUGUAGGUAUAUCUUGUGGCAUAUGGUGCCAAUAUCAACAUGUAGGUAUAUCUUGUGGCAUAUGGCGCCAAUAUCAACAUGUAGGUAUAUCUUGUGGCAUAUGGCACCAAUAUCAACAUGUAGGUAUAUCUUGUGGCAUAUGGUGCCAAUAUCAACAUGUAGGUAUAUCUUGUGGCAUAUGGUGCCAAUAUCAACAUGUAGGUAUAUCUUGUGGCAUAUGGUGCCAAUAUCAACAUGUAGGUAUAUCUUGUGGCAUAUGGUGUCAAUAUCUACAUGUAGGUAUAU